CUUACUUUUAUAGUAUUUCUUUGCAUUUAGGUAGAGAGUGAAUGAUUCUAGUCAUACAUUAUAGCAGGCCCAGGGGCUGCAAGGCCUCCUUGGAGGUCAGAAGCCUGAGCUAGGAAAAGCCAAGUCAUCAUGACUGGACCUUAGAAGCCCCUCUCUUCUGCCUUUCGGACCCCGCUUAUCUCUCUAAGAGCUGUCACUGACAACCUUCGUGGAAGACCCUAAUAAAGAAUCCUGCGGAAUUCCGCCGCUGUGCUGAGCCUACCUGAGCUAUCUUGGCCACAGCACCCUACCAGGCAUCGCCUGGUUGGAAAUUCCCGCGAUAAUACAUCUUAUUCAGCAAGCAGUAGUCAUACUUUGGAGUCAUUUUUCCACACAUAGCACGACACAAAAGACAUGGCCUGGGAUGGAGUGAAAGGAUAGAGAGAUGCCUAUACAAGAAGAGUGGAAUAGUUUUGGAAGAUUGGGAAGUCAAACCAAAUCAAUUUUAUCUGCACUACCUAUUGGAGGUAUUUUUUUAUACAUUCUGUCAUUUGAACUAUGUUAUUUACUGGUUUCUACAGUUGUGGAUCAAAACUGUAUCAGACAAUGUUUUAACAAGCUGUAUGGAGAAUCAAUAGUUCAGUGACGCAGUGUGCUUUUAGCCUGGUUUAUUUAGCAAUAUGGAUAUGUCAUUUAUUUGUAAUUCAUCCAAUUUUGUGUGUUGUCCCAGUUUCAGCCAAGGACAGGGUUGCCUUUUUGCAAUAGCGGGAGGGGGCAGGGAGAAGGGGGUGAAGCCAGGACCCAGAUGUUAUUUGAUUUCACUUCAUUUUGUUGCUGGUGAGGGAGAGGGGGUAUCACAUUGAGGUUGGGUUCCUGAGCAUUUUACAUGUAAAUUAUCCUCUCUUUUGUGCACUUUUGUUAUUAAUAUUGUUGCUGAUACUCUUUCUUAUCUCAUUCUUCUUUUAACCCAUGACCUCUGCCUAUUGUGCCUCCAAAUCUCCUCUGUGGCCAUCCAUGGGAGA